rnacentral:tRNA from 2 species
UGGCAGGUGGUGUAAAGGUAGCACAGGAGAUUUUGGUUCUCUUAGUCAGGGUUCGAAUCCUUGCCCGCCAA